rnacentral:rRNA from 1 species
GAUGAACGCUGGCGGCGUGCCUAAUACAUGCAAGUCGAGCGAACAGACGAGGAGCUUGCUCCUCUGACGUUAGCGGCGGACGGGUGAGUAACACGUGGAUAACCUACCUAUAAGACUGGGAUAACUUCGGGAAACCGGCGCUAAUACCGGAUAAUAUCUUGAACCGCAUGGUUCAAUAGUGAAAGACGGUUUUGCUGUCACUUAUAGAUGGAUCCGCGCCGCAUUAGCUAGUUGGUAAGGUAACGGCUUACCAAGGCAACGAUGCGUAGCCGACCUGAGAGGGGGAUCGGCCACACUGGGACUGAGACACGGUCAAGACGCCUAAGGGAGGGAGCAGUAGGGAAUCGGACGCAAUGGGCGAAAGCAUGACGGAGCAACGCGGCGUGAGUGAUGAAGGUCUUCGGAUCGUAAAACUCUGUUAUUAGGGAAGAACAAAUGUGUAAGUAACUAUGCACGUCUUGACGGUACCGAAUCAGAAAGCCACGGCUAACUACGUG